UACGUAGGGGGCAAGCGUUGUCCGGAAUCAUUGGGCGUAAAGAGCGUGUAGGCGGCCAUGUAGGUCCGUUGUGAAAACUCGAGGCUCAACCUCGAGACGCCGGUGGAAACCGUAAGGCUAGAGUCCGGAAGAGGAGAGUGGAAUUCCUGGUGUAGCGGUGAAAUGCGCAGAUAUCAGGAGGAACACCCGUGGCGAAAGCGGCUCUCUGGGACGGUACUGACGCUGAGACGCGAAAGCGUGGGGAGCAAACGGG
rnacentral:rRNA from 1 species